AGACCAUGAUAUGGACAAAGCCUCAUCAUGUCCUUGAAUCUCUCCCAAGCUUCAAAAAGUGAUUCGUUGUCUUUUUGUUUAAAACUGUUUAUUUGGGCUCUUAACAU